GAUGAACGCUGGCGGCGUGCCUAAUACAUGCAAGUCGAGCGAACAGACGAGGUGCUUGCUCCUCUGACGUUAGCGGCGGACUUGUGAGUAACACGUGGAUAACCUACCUAUAAGACUGGGAUAGCUUCGGGAAACUGGAGCGAAUACCGGAUAAUAUAUUGAACCGCAUGGUUCAAUAGUGAAAGAUGGUUUUGCUGUCACUUAUAGAUGGAUCCGCGCCGCAUUAGCUAGUUGGUCAGGUACCGGCUUACCAAGGCAACGAUGCGUAGCCGACCUGAGAGCGUGAUCGGCCACACUGGAACUGAGACACGGUCCAGACUCCUACGCGAGGUCCUCGUCGGGAAUCCUCCGAAGUGGGCAAAAGCUUGACGGUGCCUCGCCGCGUGAGUGAUGACGCUGUUAGCACCGUAAGACUAUGUUCUCAGGGACGACCCUAUAUGUAAGUACAGGUACACGUCUUCACGGCCCCAUCGCAGACACGCCCGCCUCAACACCCG
rnacentral:rRNA from 1 species